rnacentral:rRNA from 1 species
GCACAACGCGAAGAACCUUACCUAGGCUUGACAUGCAUCUCUAAGCACGUGAAAGCGUGUGACCCUUCGGGGAAUUUGCACAGGUGCUGCAUGGCCGUCGUCAGCUCGUGUCGUGAGAUGUUGGGUUAAGUCCCGUAACGAGCGCAACCCUUGUGACUAGUUGCCAGCACGUUAUGGUGGGAACUCUAGUCAGACUGCCCAGAUCAACUGGGAGGAAGGUGGGGACGACGUCAGGUCAGUAUGGCCCUUACGCCUAGGGCUGCACACGUACUACAAUGCCCAGCACAAUGAGAACCGAGACCGCGAGGUAGAGGAAAUCUAAAAAACUGGGCCCAGUUCGGAUUGGAGGCUGCAACUCGCCUCCAUGAAGUUGGAAUCGCUAGUAAUGGCGCAUCAUCUACGGCGCCGUGAAUACGUUCCCGGGUCUUGUACACACCG